GUGAAUCAUCGAAUCUUUGAACGCAAAUUGCACUUUCUGGUAUUCCUGAGAGUGUGCCUGUUUGAGGGUCAGUUAAAUAAAAAUCGUUGUUGUUGCUGCUUGUCGUGGUUACGCGUUGGGAUUGAGUUAUCUUACCUCCAUUUAAGUGACUUAAAAUUUUGCAUGAUUUUCGUACGUAUUUAAAUUUCUUACGUACUUUUGAGUUAACGGAUACUUUAUUAGGUUCGGUCAUCCUCAUUAUUCGCACCUAUAAUUUUUCUUUAAAUGACCUAAAAUCAGGUGAUAAUGCCACCUGAAC
rnacentral:misc_RNA from 1 species